rnacentral:tRNA from 1 species
GUCUCUGUAGCUCAGUGGGUAGAGCAUCAAGCGCUUAACUUGACUGUCGCGAGUUCGACUCUCGCCAGAGACGCCA